ACCCUUAUUGCAAGUUCCCCUCCUCCAGCGCGCCUAACUGGAGACUACAUUUACUCCUGGGAGGUAGUUUUCAGGAUGGAAGAUCAAACCAGUAAAGAAUACAAAGAGGGACUACGAGACAAUCUGCAGAACAGCCUCAAGUACAGAGUGGACAAUCACCAGAAUCUCAUGUACAAAGUUCUCGGAGAGUUUCCUAUUAAGAUGAUGUAUUUUGCAUCAUUGAAACCAGAGGAUGCUGAACUGGUUAUCUGGCAAUUCAACCCCCAAAGACUGAUUUUUACAGCAAAGGUG